AGCACCAACGAACAACGGUGAAGAAAGACGACUUCGGUGGCGAAGUGAGAGUUUCAAAUGGUGGAGCGAGAGUUUCAAAUAGAGCGAGAGUUUCGAAUGGUGAAGCGAGAGUUAAGAAUAUUGGAGUGAGAGUUGAGAAUGGUGGAGCGAGAGUUGAGAAUGGUGGAGUGAGAGUUGAGAAUGAUAAAACUGGUGAGAGAGGGUUUUGAAUGAAAAAAAUGGUGAAGACACCAACAGGUUUUUCAGCUUUUUGCUUUCCAAAAAUGCCUUCAAAAGCUCAUUUUAUCUUUUUUAAAAAAUCAUUUAAAAUAACAAAUGACAAAACAACACGUGUUGUUGUCAAUUUGUUGUCAAAUGAACGUUGAAGAAACAUUUUCCAUAAUGUUAUUACCAAUCAUUCA
rnacentral:lncRNA from 1 species